rnacentral:rRNA from 1 species
UGUGUAGGCGGGUCGUUAAGUACCUUGUGAAAUCCCACGGCUCACCCGUGGAACUGCUGGGUAUACUGGCGAUCUUGGGCCAUUCAGGGGCAACUGGAACAAGCGGUGGAGCGGUGAAAUGCGUAGAUAUCGCUUGGAACGCCAAAGGUGAAAACAGGUUGCUGGGAAUGUGCCGACGCUGAGACACGAAAGCCAGGGGAGCAAACGGGAUUAGAUACCCCGGUAGUCCUGGCCCUAAACGAUGUCCACUAGAUUGCGGCGGGUUUGACCCCGUCGCGGUCGAAGCAAAAGUGUUAAGUGGACCGCCUGGGAAGUACGGUCGCAAGGCUAAA